rnacentral:rRNA from 2 species
UACGGAGGUGGCAAGCGUUGUUCGGAAUUACUGGGCGUAAAGGGCGCGUAGGCGGUUUUGCAAGUCAGAUGUGAAAGCCCCGGGCUUAACUCGGGAAUUGCAUCUGAAACUGCUUAACUUGAGUCCUGGAUGGGGUAGUGGAAUUCCCAGUGUAGCGGUGAAAUGCGUAGAUAUUGGGAGGAACACCUGCGGCGAAGGCGGCUACCUGGACAGUGACUGACGCUGAGGCGCGAAAGCUAGGGGAGCGAACGGG